rnacentral:rRNA from 1 species
AGCGAACGCUGGCGGCAGGCCUAACACAUGCAAGUCGAACGAAGUCUUCGGACUUGGUGGCGGACGGGUGAGUAACACGUGGGAACGUACCUUUUGGUUCGGAACAACUCAGGGAAACUUGAGCUAAUACUGGAUGCGCACUUAGGGGGAAAGAUUUAUCGCCGAAAGAGCGGCCCGCGUUAGAUUAGCUAGUUGGUGAGGUAAAGGCUCACCAAGGCUACGAUCUAUAGCUGGUCUGAGAGGAUAAUCAGCCACACUGGGACUGAGACACGGCCCAGACUCCUACGGGAGGCAGCAGUGGGGAAUCUUGCGCAAUGGGCGAAAGCCUGACGCAGCCAUUCCGCGUGAAUGAUGAAGGUCAUAGGAUUGUAAAAUUCUUUUACCAGGGACGAUAAUGACGGUACCUGGAUAAAAAGCCCCGGCUAACUUCGUGCCAGCCGCCGCGGUAAUAC